AACAAGUUGAUGCUCUAAUUUAACUUCAAAAGUUCGGCAAUGUAUUGAUUCUAAAGUGGAAACUUUCGAGCUGGAUACGUAGAGGCAGAGGGAAUUUUUGAUGGAGCAUAUAGAUCAGAAAGAACAUCAACGACGAAAGCAUUAUGCUAGAUGACACUAACAAUGAGAAAUGAAAACUAGGGGAGAGAGUGGAUUGGAUACCGCAAUAGUUCUAGCUCGUAAACGAUGUAUAAUAGGCGUUGUACAUAUCAACCCAUGCAGUGAUGUAGCUAACACAUUAAGGGGUCG
rnacentral:ncRNA from 1 species